CCCACGGUGGGUGGAGCCACCCUUAGGUAGAGGUAGCUCAAUAAACCUGUAAGCAGAGCUGCUCUUCAGCUCCUACCUUGAUCCUGCUGUGGCUUUCCUCAACCUGUAGUGAAAUGCCUCAGCCUCCCAAGUGCUGGGAUUAAAGGCGUGCACCACCAACACCCGGCCACAAACUGGUUUUGGUCAGUGUUUUUAUCACAGCAACAAAAAGCAAAUGGAAAGACUGUGCGUACUACGAGAACUGACGAGGACACGAGGUGCUACAUGUGUUGACUAGCGUGAUUCAGUCAUCACACUACGAACUGGUCAAAACACUGCAUGCCUAAACUUGGCUAAUGGAACAAGGAAGCUGAUCAGAAUCAGGCUAAUUUCACUGCACGGCUUAUUAGGCAUCCACACACAUGUGUUCCCGUGCUGGCCUACAUCUUAGGGAAAGAGUUCACCAUGAGGACGACUCUGGAUCAUUGUCUUCUCUAUCACAGACAUUUUUUAGAGGUUUAUUUGGAAUUCUGAAAAUUCUCAGUCCCGUCACUGACGUUUCCCGGAGACCUACCCUCGCUUCACCAAACUGGACCUCUUGUUACUGCACGGCUUCCUCGUUCCCCGCCGCGGGCAGGAGCAAGCGUUCAUGAAGUGUAUGCACAGAAGAAGGGAGUUGAAUGAUCACAUAUACGUUAGAACUGUGCUCCACAAACUCUAACAGCCAGCCCGGAAAAACAACCUAUUGUCUACUGUAAACAGACCCGAUGCCGGUUUCCUACCUCUUGAGUCAGACUGGUUGGAAGUCGCUUCGCCAUCUCUGCCAACAACCUGGGAAGUCAAGCAGCAACUCCUGCAAUAAAUAUCGCCCCCUGCUCCCCACAGCUAACCUAUGGGAUGCCCCAUUUCUAGUUGGUUCACCCACAGCCGCUCCAUGCCCGCAGCCUCACCAGGGCACACCUGCGUCUUUCUCUUUUCUACUCGAAAUAGUUUCCCUUUGUUAUGCCUGCCUACCUGCGAGUCUCUGCCAAAGUACAGACAAUAGCAGCCAGUUCCCUGCUACUGCAAUCUCUGAGCAAACAAGCUCUACUUGUUCACGUUUGGUUGGCCUGUUUAUUUCUAUGGUGGCUUUUAAAAUUUAAAUCAAUGAGAACAUUCUUCAUGUGUGUUAGCCACAUUCCAAAUGCUCAUGGUAGCCCCAUGUAGUGAAUGGCAGCCAUGAUGGAUAGUAUAAAUGUAGGAUGUUUCUAUCACUCCCAAUUUUCCAUGAAUAAUUCUGCACAUACCCAGGACUUUCCCACCUUGUGGUGGUUUGAGUGAGAAAUGUUCCCCAGAAGCUCAGGUAGACAGUACUUUGUCCUUUGUAGGUUGUGCCCUUUGGGACAGUAAGAGAAUCAUUAGAUACACUUCCUAAUCUCUCUCUCUCUCUCUCUCUCUCUCUCUCUCUCUCUCUGUCUGUCUGUCUGUCUGUCUGUCUGUCUGUCUGUCUGUCUCUCUCUCUCUCUCUCUCUCUCUCUCUUUCUCAUGAGUAUGAUCAGAUAAGCUUCCAUCCUGUAGCCAUGCUUUUCCUGACUCCUGCCCUGCCUUGUCUGCCACGAUGGACUCUAUCCCCAAUAAAACCAAAACCUCUUGUUCUAUGAGUUGCUCAUGGUCAUUAUAUUCUAUUACACAACAGAAAGUAACCAGUCCACACCCUAUACUUCUCCUUCCACUCAACUGACCAUCUUCUCACAUCUUUACCUGCCAAUUUCCCACCCAGACUGCUGACAGAACUCAACUUACUACCUCCUUCAAGAAUCAUCAUGGAUUCCUAUCUUCUUUUAAAGAAAUAAAUCCUCACUAAUUCAA